CUCUUUCAUUUUGCUUAUUCUGCAUUUUAUACAGUCAAAGACUGAAAUCCCUUCAUGGAUUUUGUUGUAUUCAAUUUUGAUUGGCUAAUAUCAGUUUGAGGUGGAAAUUCAAGAGAAUCCCCCCCAAAACUACAAGUCCCAUAUCGAAAAUUAGGUUUCCAAUUCUCAGAUUUGGGGUUCUAUCAGAUUCCACUAUUUCACACACCACACAAGUCUGAAAAAAUCAGAUAAUAAUUUGCUGGAACCUUUGAUUUUGCUGAGUUUUUAGUUUAAAAAAUUAAUCUUUCUUUUGGUUUGUGUCUGAGGGGUUUGAAGGAUCUCCAAAUUCCAUUACUCGACCUAGGCUGCACAUAGAGGAGAUGCAUACAAAUCUGAAAUUCAACAUGGUUCUUGAGGCCCAAAGAUAUGCUAAAAAUUAAUACCGAGGAACAAAGGAAAGUGACCAAGUGUUUAGAAAACCUUCCUUCUUGAUAACAUGCUUGAGUUUCAAGUCAUUGGUAUCCUUGUCUUUCAAUGUGCAAGUUAUCAAGUCCCUGUUGAAUGCACCAGGUGAUACCAUACUUAGCAGCAAUUGCUUCAGCCUGAUUGUUACUGCUGCGUUCAAUUGGGACUGAAUAAGCAAAAAUGAAAUCUCCAUUGUAUGAUCUCACAACAGCUCCCAUACCUUUUUGGUGUCAUUGAAGAAGCUCCCGUCAGUAUUGAGUUUCACCAUACUAGUGCAGGGUUCUUCCCAAGCAACUGGAGUAUAUCUCACCAUGGGACAAAGUCUUUCCACUUUGUUGCAUAAGUUUGGCCAAUAUUCUUCUGUUGUAAAAGAGAGAAAUGCUUCUUAUAUCACUGCUUUGAUAUUUCAAGUGCACUGAGUAACCAUCUUGUAUUGAUAAAAUCUGCUUUUAUCUCCA